rnacentral:rRNA from 1 species
UACAGAGGUGCCGAGCGUUAGGCGGAAUCACUGGGCUUAAAGCGUGUGUAGGCGGACUUCUAAGUACCUUGUGAAAUCCCACGGCUCACCCGUGGAACUGCUGGGUAUACUGGUCGUCUUGAGCCACCUAGGGGCGAGCGGAACAAAUGGUGGAGCGGUGAAAUGCGUAGAUAUCAGUUGGAACGCCAACGGUGAAAACAGCUCGCUGGGGGUGUGCUGACGCUGAGACACGAAAGCCAGGGUAGCGAACGGG